AUUGAACGCUGGCGGCAGGCCUAACACAUGCAAGUCGAGCGGAUGAAGGGAGCUUGCUCCUGGAUUCAGCGGCGGACGGGUGAGUAAUGCCUAGGAAUCUGCCUGGUAGUGGGGGAUAACGUCCGGAAACGGGCGCUAAUACCGCAUACGUCCUGAGGGAGAAAGUGGGGGAUCUUCGGACCUCACGCUAUCAGAUGAGCCUAGGUCGGAUUAGCUAGUUGGUGGGGUAAAGGCCUACCAAGGCGACGAUCCGUAACUGGUCUGAGAGGAUGAUCAGUCACAGUUGAACUGGGACGCGGACCAGAAUCCUAACGGAGGCCGGAGUAGGGGAUAUUUGACAAUUGGCGGAAGCCUUGUCCAACCAUUGCGCGUGUGUUAAGAAGGGUUUCCGAGUGUAAAACACUUUAAGUUGGGAGGAAGGGCAGUAAGUUAAUACCUUGCUGUUUUGACGUUACCAACAGAAUAAGCACCGGCUAACUUCGUG
rnacentral:rRNA from 1 species